GGGGUUGACUUGGUUUUGACAGCAUAUGUAAGGGUAUGUAAGCAUGUCGGAUGUUGUAAGAAGGUUCCGUUAAAAGCCAACUUUCAAGCCAUAAACGGCAACAAUUACGAAUACGCAUACGCAGCUUAAUCUAGGAAUUAAGCGCGAGCUGCUUCACCAAAAGCCUCUCUUUGCGGCGUUUGGACUCGAAGUAUCGCAAAGGCAAAGAUAGUAGCAGUAGUGCCUGAAUGCUGUUGCGAAAUUUAAGGAUAAGGUGAUAAUUGGUUCGUAUGGCACCAUUUUAUCUCUCGAAAAUUAAGCCAAUACUAAACAUGUAGAAAGCAUAUUGGUGCUAUGUUUGGACGAGGGUUCGAAUCCCUCCAACUCCACUA
rnacentral:tmRNA from 1 species